UACGAAGGGGGCAAGCGUUGCUCGGAAUGACUGGGCGUAAAGGGCGCGUAGGCGGACGGCUUUGUCGGGCGUGAAAUUCCAGGGCUUAACCUUGGGGCUGCGUUCGAGACGGGUUGUCUAGAGUUUGGAAGAGGGUCGUGGAAUUCCCAGUGUAGAGGUGAAAUUCGUAGAUAUUGGGAAGAACACCGGUGGCGAAGGCGGCGACCUGGUCCUUGACUGACGCUGAGACACGAAAGCGUGGGUAGCAAACAGG
rnacentral:rRNA from 1 species